ensembl:lncRNA
GAAAUAUUUUCUAGCUUUCAAAGAAGUUUUAUGCAGAUCAUAAUCCAAUGAAAAGGGGAUACACUACUAUUCAAAUGACCACUCCAUUCUAAAAGUAUCACAGAGUAUCAAUUUUCAGAAUAGUACUAGAAGAGACCUAAAUGGUAACUUGGAAAUUUCUUGGUAGUAAAAGCGGAUUCAAUAUUUUUCACUCAGCAAUUUGAAAUAUGCUUAAGCUUAUAUUUUAAUUUUUCUUGUGGGUCUUUUGUUAAUAAAAUUGUCAAAAUAAUAUUCUAUGGGAACUUAACUGUUAAUUGGUGAAAAGAGACAAAAUGUUUGAGGAAAAAAAUUGGUUACAUUAUGCAGUUAUAUCGUAGAUAAGUACAGAUGACACAGAGUGGACUUCACACAUGGCUGAAACACUCUGAUAGUAGCAGUGGCAUAUUUGUAGUAGGUCUGUGUGAAUGUGUGCUGGGCUAGCAUGGGCCUAAAUACACACAUGUGUUUGUGCUCUCUCCAGAGGAGUUCUAAUCUUCAGUUAGUGCAGUUGUGAGGAGUUGCACUUAUGAAUAUAUGUUGGUCUAUCCUGUGUCACAUGUGAAUGAAUUUGUGUAAAAUGAUGAAUCUGAAUGAAUAUGACUUUGUGUUUACAUUAUCUGUAAGGCUUCCUUGGUGGCUCAGAUGAUAAAAGCAUCUGCCUGCAAUGCGGGAGAUCCAGGUUCAAUCCCUGGGUCAGGAAGAUGCCCUGGAGAAGGAAAUGGCAACCCACUCCAGUACUCUUGCCUGGAAAAUUCCAGGGACAGAAGAACCUGGUAGGCUACAGUCUACGGGGUGCAAAGAGUCGGACACGACUGAGCAACUUCACUUUCUUUUAUGUUAUCUGUAUCAAAGACCAUACAAAAAUCCCAGAAUGAAAGUCAUGAUGCUCAUUAGGAAUCAGAAUACAAUACUGAUGGCAACUGCAUCCUCAAGAACAAAGGAGGAAUCUAAAGGUGUAUCUCAUGGCUCAGCAGAAAACUUUCACUUAAGAGGUAAUUUAUG